rnacentral:tRNA from 1 species
AGUCACGUGGUCUAAUGGUUAUGAUAUCUCGUUCACAUCCAAGUGAAUGAAUUCCGAGAUGGUUCCCGGUUCGAUCCCGGGCGUGACUA